GACGAAGGAUGCAAUCGUUAUCCGGAUUCAUUGGGUUUAAAGGGAGCGUAGGCGGCCCUGUAAGUCAGUGGUGAAAUCUUUGGGCUUAACCCAAAAAUUGCCAUUGAUACUGCAGGGCUUGAGUACAGUUGCCGUUGGCGGAAUAUGACAUGUAGUGGUGAAAUACAUAGAGAUGUCAUAGAACACCGAUUGCGAAGGCAGCUAACGAAACUGUAACUGACGCUGAGGCUCGAAAGUGCGGGGAUCAAACAGG
rnacentral:rRNA from 1 species